UAGGGAAUCUUCGGCAAUGGGGGGAACCCUGACCGAGCAACGCCGCGUGAGUGAAGAAGGUUUUCGGAUCGUAAAGCUCUGUUGUUAAGGAAGAACGAGUGUGGGAAUGGAAAGUUCAUGCUGUGACGGUACUUAACCAGAAAGGGACGGCUAACUACGUGCCAGCAGCCGCGGUAAUACGUAGGUCCCGAGCGUUGUCCGGAUUUAUUGGGCGUAAAGCGAGCGCAGGCGGUUAGAAAAGUCUGAAGUGAAAGGCAGUGGCUCAACCAUUGUAGGCUUUGGAAACUGGUUAACUUGAGUGCAGAAGGGGAGAGUGGAAUUCCAUGUGUAGCGGUGAAAUGCGUAGAUAUAUGGAGGAACACCGGUGGCGAAAGCGGCUCUCUGGUCUGUAACUGACGCUGAGGCUCGAAAGCGUGGGGAGCGAACAGG
rnacentral:rRNA from 1 species